rnacentral:tRNA from 1 species
GCGGGGGUAGCCAAGCCUGGUCAAACCCAUCCAGCAGAAGCUGGACAGAACCAACGGCGGCAGGCUCAAGACCUGCUCCCGCAGGGGUUCGUGGGUUCGAAUCCCACCCCCCGCA